GAUGAUGAAGUGCAUUAAAUGCAACACAAUUACUCUGCGUACUUAAGUAUAUUUAAUAUCAGACACUAAGAGUUUUACUCAAGUACUGUUGGUAUGAUGGCCUCUCACUGUGACCACAGUAAGACUUUAACAUGACGUGUUUACUUUGAAUCCAGUGGGACUUUCCAGCAGUGCGUCUGCUCCUCUUCAGUAAAGCUGCUGAGAGGCUCCAUGUGAAACAUCCUGGUUGUGCUGCUCAAUCAAAUGUGUUGGCUUUGUCCUCAUUAGUCCUGCUGUCAGUGCUGGACCAUGACACACACACACACACACACACACACACACACACACACACACUCCCAGUCUGUCUCCCUCUGUGGAGGAGAGUGUCGGUAGGGGUCGCUACUGUCCGUGUAAAGCAGCAGAUGGAGCAGUGACAGAGUCUCCAGCUCUUGUGUUCAUCAGCACCGUUCACACCGGGAUUUCUUCCUCCGCUCGGCUUCAUUUGCAGCUUUCUCUUCUGGAAAUUAGCCGCUGGAGACGGAGCUCGGUCGGGAAGAGCGCGGAGCUUUUGCAGCUGAUUAAAGGACACCAUGCUUUCCUUCUGGAUACACACCGUGUGGAUCCCCGGCGUCGCUCUCCUCUUUGGAUUUCAAGGCAAGGGAUCGUUUCAUUCUUUUCAUUUCAUGUGCUGACGUUUUCCACUAGGAAAGCCCGGAGCUGAGAGGGAAAUGACAGCUACCGUGGAGCUUUAUUGUGCUUCUGUCCGUCCGCUGCUGACUCGAGUUCUGAAGGUAUGUGAAGUGACUUCCCUUCCUGAAAACAGCUGACAUGACGGAGAGAGCUCCUCAUGGAGAAGCUGCCGACUGUUACAGUGGAGCUGUGUUUGCUCUCAGGCAACUUAGUGACAUCAGUGUGCAUGUACAGUAGCAGUGUGAGACACAGAGGAGAGAAGAGAAGAGCCGCAGAGGCUGAUGGUCCAGCUCCCAGCUUCAGGAGAGUCUCCUCUCAGCUGAGGAGGAGAGCAGUGACCAACAUGUGGAGGCUGUUCAUCUCUCAGCUGCACUCUGACACUUGCUUCAGUAUGCUGGCCUCUCAUCCAGAGUGUGUGUGUGUGUGUGUGUGUGUGUGUGUGUGUGUGUGUGUGUGUGUGUGUGUGUGUGUGUGUGUGUGCAGCUCAGUGCCAGUUAGUUUGUGUAAACUGUCUAAUAAGUGAAGUGAUGUCUCCAUUUUGGCUCUAAGCUUGAAAUCCCUUCAUAUCUUCACACACAUCUCUGACUCUGAUCCAUCUACGAUGCACACAUCAUGGAUCAGUCCGUUUUAUUGGAUUCUCUCUGGUGCUGCUUUUCUGCUGGCAAAGAGUCUUAUUAGUGUUGUGUAUGUGUGUGUGUGUGUGUGUGUGUGUGUGUGUGUGUGUGUGUGUGUGUGAUACACGUGGAUGAAGGCAGAAAGCAGACACAGUGUGUGGUGUGAAACAGCAGUGAGAUCCAGCUGUAGUGAGCAGGAGAGACGGUGGCAGCAGGAAGGGUGGAUGAUGGAGGAGAAGAAAGAUGUAGUUUUCAUGUCUUCUCUCUCGUCUGCUUUUGGAAUUAAAUGUCAGCAAUCUCUCCUGGCAUCAUUUCCCCAAAGCUGCACAUGACUGACAGUGGAAUCAUGAAUCUGUGGCUGAGCCGUUGUUUCCUCUGAGGGCAGCGCUGACGCCCGUCUCUCUGCAGAGCGUCUUUAAACUCGUCGUCCGCUCAGACUUCAUCGAUUCAGACGUCGACCCUGUUCGUCUUGUCAAAGUGCAGCCGAUGAGCUGGAGAGAGAGACGGAGGAUAAGAUGAUGGAGGAAAUGAACAUCAAUAUAGUCGGGCGGACUGACCGAGUACAGUCUCUGUGCAGGAAACACCGAGCUGGUGUUUGAUGGGACGUUUUGCUUUUUCAUUAAUAAGUGAAGUAGGUAAUCAGCUCAGCUGCUUGUUUUACAGCGAGCACUUCUUCCUAAUGAGCAUCAGCUCUAAUCACACAGGUAGAUCACUGUUCACCUCCUCGCUCUCCCUCUAACAAGACAAACCUGACAAAGUGUGAAUCAUAAUUUAUUCUCACUGCUCUGUUUGGUUUCUCAUCAGUUUUCUUCAGUAAGUUGAACAAAUGAAUGUCAAAUAAACCUCCUUUAUGAUAAUUGUUAAAGAGAUACUGCUGCAGAUGUUGUAUGAAUAUUUCUCUUUAAUAAAGAAGAUAAAUGCA